ACCGACCGACCGCUCAAAAUCAUGAUAACAGAACAUAAAUCUGAGAAAAUGCAAUCUAAAAAACAGACUUUCGGCAAAUAUCGACUUGUGCUUGAGCAGCUUUCAGCUAGUGAGCCUCAGUCCGGUCCAGUAAUCCGGUUCACGACCGUGGACCGGAGCACUGGACCGGACUGAGGCUCACGACCGUGGACCGGAGCACUGGACCGGACUGAGGCUCACGACCGUGGACCGGAGCACUGGACCGGACUGAGGCUCACGACCGUGGACCGGAGCACUGGACCGGACUGAGGCUCACGACCGUGGACCGGAGCACUGGACCGGACUGAGGCUCACGGCCGUGGACCGGAGCACUGGACCAGACUGAGGCUCACGACCGUGGACCGGAGCACUGGACCGGACUGAGGCCCAAGCAGGUCCUCUGCUGGACCACUAGCUGCGCUGCGCCCCGUCUCGAGGCGUGGGCGCUCACCCGCAGAAGGGCUGGAACUGGGUGAAGUUGGCCCAGCCGGUCCCCUGCUGAGAGUCUCCCGGGCUCCCCCCCGCUGCCUCCCAGCCCGCCGGGACGGGACGGGUCGUGGGGCCCCC
ensembl:lncRNA